rnacentral:rRNA from 1 species
AUUGAACGCUGGCGGCAGGCCUAACACAUGCAAGUCGAACGGUAACAGGAAGCAGCUUGCUGCUUUGCUGACGAGUGGCGGACGGGUGAGUAAUGUCUGGGAAACUGCCUGAUGGAGGGGGAUAACUACUGGAAACGGUAGCUAAUACCGCAUAACGUCGCAAGACCAAAGAGGGGGACCUUCGGGCCUCUUGCCAUCGGAUGUGCCCAGAUGGGAUUAGCUAGUAGGUGGGGUAACGGCUCACCUAGGCGACGAUCCCUAGCUGGUCUGAGAGGAUGACCAGCCACACUGGAACUGAGACACGGUCCAGACUCCUACGGGAGGCAGCAGUGGGGAAUAUUGCACAAUGGGCGCAAGCCUGAUGCAGCCAUGCCGCGUGUAUGAAGAAGGCCUUCGGGUUGUAAAGUACUUUCAGCGGGGAGGAAGGGAGUAAAGUUAAUACCUGUGCUCAUUGACGUUACCCGCGGAAGAAGCACCGGCUAACUCCGUG